AUCCCUGUAGCACAUUGGAUAUCGCGUUGGACUUCUAAUCCAAAGGUCAUGGGUUCGAUUCCCAUCUGGAAUG